rnacentral:lncRNA from 1 species
GAAACCAUUAAAAAUUCUUACACAAGGAAAAACCAUACCACAGAAUAGACUCUUAAAAGGAAGUACAAAUAUUUGAAAUGUUGAGAAAAAAACCUGUCUUAUAUACUUGUGAUAUGACUAGGAAACUCAAGUGAAUUAAGUAGAAACUACUAGAACUAAAUAAGAACUGCAUGAGGUGGCUGGACCCAAGAUAAAUAUAAAAACCAAAAGCUUUCCCACAUGCUAGCAAUAAGCUAUUAAAAAACUUAGUGAGGAGCUGGGGUUGUGGCUCAGUGGUAGAGCACUUGCCUAGCACGUGUGAGGCAAGAGUUCAAUCCUCAGCACCACAUAAAAAUAAAAUAAAUAUAUUGUGUCCACCUUAAAAAAAAAACAGUAAAAAAGAUAAUGGAACAAAACAGGAACAUUAAAAGAAAUGCCUUGUUUUUGGAUAAGAAGAUGCAAUGUUAUAAAGCCUUCUGUUCUCCCCAACUUAGUCUAGUAAUUCAGUGAACCUGCAACCCUAAUCCUAUAAUGUUCAUAUUUGUGUAUUGAUUGAUUGAUUGACUUAGUUCCGGGGAUCAGUCCCCGGGCCUCAAGAGUGCUAGGCAAGUGCUCUAACCCUGAGCUACAUCUCUAACUUCCUACAGUGUUUUUAAAAAUUAGCUCAUUCUAAAUUCAACUGUAAUUGUGAUUGCAUGAGGAUAGCCAAGAAGUUUUUGUAAAAUGAAGCAAAUAGUAAGGAACAACUUGCCCUAAGAAUAUCAAAUGCAUUAUACUAUUUUUAAAAAUAUUUUUCUAGUUGUCAAUGGACCUUUAAUUAAUUUAUUUUUUUAUUUAUAUGUGGUGCUGAGAAUCAAACCCAGUGUCUCACACAUGCUAGGCAAGCACUCUACCACUGAGCCACAACCCCAGCUGCUCAAAUGUACUAUACUCUUACCAAGAAAUGUGUAAAUAAUAUAAAUUAAAGCUUUAAAAUAUAUUUUAGCAAAUAUAAAAUUACUUAUGGGACUUGGUUGAUAUUGCUAAUUUAUAUUAAGAAACAAAAUAUGUUGUACACCAAAGUCCAUAGGUUAGAAAUACUAGAAAUGACACUGUGGGAACAAUUGUUGGAACAGACAGCUCGUUACAGAAGCAGGCAUGGAUACAGAGGUUGUAUUGAUUUUUAAGAAUCAAUGUCCAGGGAAGAAGAAGCAGGAUUGCCCAGAGGGAAGCCACCCUGCGGUGCAGGUCUGACCAGCCCUUGCCUGUAGGAGUUCCAGGAUGCAUACAGCCAUCAGAGAUGUCAACAUGGUGAUCAUUCCUGAGAUGGAGUUAAAAUCACAGCAAGCUGGGACCACAUACCCACCAGAAUAGCUAUAAUCAAAAAGGCCGACAGUACCAAGGUGGCCGAGAAUGUAGAUUAAUGGUGACAUUCAUGUGCUGAUGGUGGAAAUGUGAACUGCUUCAGCCACUUAGGUAACUGGCUGGCUGCAUCCGCUGAUGUAUGACCCAGAAGUUCCACUUCUCAGUAUAUACACAGACAGCCUUGUACACGCUGACCAAGAGAUGUGUACAAGACUGUUCAUAACAGCAUUUUUUUUAAAGAUAGAGUGAGAGAGGGAGGGAGGGAGAGAGAGAGAGAGAGAGAGAGAGAGAGAGAGAGAGAAUUUUUUUUAAUAUUUAUUUUUUAGUUUUCGGCGGACACAACAUCUUUGUUUGUAUGUGGUGCUCAGGAUCGAACCUGGGCCGCAUGCUUGCCAGGCGAGCGCGCUACCGCUUGAGCCACAUCCCCAGCCCAGCAUUAUUUGGAAUAGUCCCCAAAUGCCCACCAACAGUAGAAUGGAACAUGGAUUAUGGUAUAUUCGUGCAUGUGCUAAAUUCAUGGAAUAUUACAGCAAAGAACGCUACCACAGGAAGCGACAGAGAUGAACCCCCUAAAUGUAGUGUUGAACACGGGAAGCUGGACAUAAAAAAAAAUGUUGUGAAAUUCUGCUUUCAUAAAAUUCAAAAGUUGACAAGCCAUUCCAAGGUGACAGCCAUGAAGUAGCAGUCCAUUGGGGGUAAUUGCGGAAGGUGGCCCCAGGGCUGUUGGCCAUGCUCAUUUCUUGAGCUGACAGUGCUCAUUCAUGCGCUUUCCCCUCCUCAAACAGCCUUGGAGCGUGCACUUGAUCCGUGUUCUUUCCUGUGUGUAUGUUUGUGUUUCUCCCUAAUAAAUUGUCCC